rnacentral:ncRNA from 1 species
UAAGUUGCUGAGAACAGAUGAGUAACUAGUUGGCCCCCACCCAGAGAUGUGGGGGAGCUGAGAACCACGGGGUGGCUAACUAGUGAAGAUGGUCUGGGAGCAAGUUCGACCAGUGAAUUCAUUAACUGGUGGCGGUUGGGCCCGUUAUCACCCCGGGUAUCUCCGUUUGGACGUACCUCGUGAGGGUUUUGCCGUGAGGGAGAACCGAAUUAGGGUGGUAACACGCUUUUAAGAUAACUUGAAUGCGUCCCUAGA